rnacentral:rRNA from 1 species
GUGCACGCUGGCGGUAGGCCUAACACAUGCAAGUCGCACGGCAGCACAGUAAGAGCUUGCUCUUACGGGUGGCGAGUGGCGGACGGGUGAGGAAUACAUCGGAAUCUACUUUUUCGUGGGGGAUAACGUAGGGAAACUUACGCUAAUACCGCAUACGACCUACGGGUGAAAGCAGGGGAUCUUCGGACCUUGCGCGAUUGAAUGAGCCGAUGUCGGAUUAGCUAGUUGGCGGGGUAAAGGCCCACCAAGGCGACGAUCCGUAGCUGGUCUGAGAGGAUGAUCAGCCACACUGGAACUGAGACACGGUCCAGACUCCUACGGGAGGCAGCAGUGGGGAAUAUUGGACAAAGGGCGCAAGCCUGAUCCAGCCAUACCGCGUGGGUGAAGAAGGCCUUCGGGUUGUAAAGCCCUUUUGUUGGGAAAGAAAAGCAGCAGGUUAAUACCCCGCUGUUCUGACGGUACCCAAAGAAUAAGCACCGGCUAACUUCGUG